rnacentral:tRNA from 1 species
GGGGGUGUAGCUCAGUGGUAGACAGUGUGCUUAGCAUGCAUGAGGCCCUGGGUUCAAUUCCCAGCACCUCCA